GUAGGUGAACCUGCGGAAGGAUCAUUAUUGAAAAGGGAACCCUUCGGGGUUCAACCUUAAACCCUUUGUCUUAAUUACCUGUUUCUUUGGCGGGCUCGCCCGUCAGAAGUUUUCUUAAACCCAUUAUAAAUGUGUCAUCUGAAUAACAAACAAAAUAAAUUAAAACUUUCAACAACGGAUCUCUAGGCUCUU
rnacentral:misc_RNA from 1 species